UGGGUGAUCUGCCCUGCACUUUGGGAUAAGCCUGGGAAACUGGGUCUAAUACCGAAUACACCUCGCUGGCCGCAUGGUCUGGUGGGGGAAAGCUUUUGCGGUGUGGGAUGGGCCCGCGGCCUAUCAGCUUGUUGGUGGGGUGAUGGCCUACCAAGGCGACGACGGGUAGCCGGCCUGAGAGGGUGACCGGCCACACUGAGACUGAGACACGGCCCAGACCUCCUACGGGAGCA
rnacentral:rRNA from 1 species